rnacentral:rRNA from 1 species
ACGAACGCUGGCGGCGUGCUUAACCCCUGCAAGUCGAACGGAAAGGCCCUGCUUGCAGGGUACUCGAGUGGCGAACGGGUGAGUAACACGUGGGUGAUCUGCCCUGCACUUCGGGAUAAGCUUGGGAAACUGGGUCUAAUACCGGAUAGGAGCCAUCUUUAGUGUGGUGGUUGGAAAGUUUUUUCGGUGUAGGAUGAGCUCGCGGCCUAUCAGCUUGUUGGUGGGGUAAUGGCCUACCAAGGCGGCGACGGGUAGCCGGCCUGAGAGGGUGUACGGCCACAUUGGGACUGAGAUACGGCCCAGACUCCUACGGGAGGCAGCAGUGGGGAAUAUUGCACAAUGGGCGCAAGCCUGAUGCAGCGACGCCGCGUGGGGGAUGAAGGCCUUCGGGUUGUAAACUCCUUUCGCUAGGGACGAAGCUUUUUUGUGACGGUACCUAGAUAAGAAGCACCGGCUAACUACGUG